rnacentral:rRNA from 1 species
UGGGGAAUAUUGGGCAAUGGGCGAAAGCCUGACCCAGCAACGCCGCGUGAAGGAAGAAGGUCUUCGGAUUGUAAACUUCUUUUAUCAGGGACGAAGUAAGUGACGGUACCUGAUGAAUAAGCCACGGCUAACUACGUGCCAGCAGCCGCGGUAAUACGUAGGUGGCAAGCGUUAUCCGGAUUUACUGGGUGUAAAGGGCGCGUAGGCGGGGAUACAAGUCAGAUGUGAAAUCUAUGGGCUUAACCCAUAAACUGCAUUUGAAACUGUAUCUCUUGAGUGUCGGAGAGGUAGACGGAAUUCCUAGUGUAGCGGUGAAAUGCGUAGAUAUUAGGAGGAACACCAGUGGCGAAGGCGGUCUACUGGACGAUAACUGACGCUGAGGCGCGAAAGCGUGGGGAGCAAACAGG